AUUGAACGCUGGCGGCAGGCCUAACACAUGCAAGUCGAGCGAGCGGCGGACGGGUGAGUAAUGUAUGGGGAUCUGCCCGAUAGAGGGGGAUAACUACUGGAAACGGUAGCUAAUACCCCAUACUAUCGGAUGAACCCAUAUGGGAUUAGCGAGUAGGUGGGGUAAUGGGUCACCAAGGCAACGAUCCGUAGCUGGUUUGAGAGGACGACCAGCCACACUGGAACUGAGACACGGCCCAGACUCCUACGGGAGGCAGCAGUGGGGAAUAUUGGACAAUGGGGGAAACCCUGAUCCAGCCAUGCCGCGUGUAUGAUGAAGGCCUUCGGGUUGUAAAGUACUUUUGGCAGAGAAGCGGUAUCUGCAGAAUAAGCACCGGCUAACUACGUGCCAGCCGCCGCGGUAAUAC
rnacentral:rRNA from 1 species